rnacentral:tRNA from 2 species
GCGGGAGUAGCUCAGUUGGCUAGAGCACAAGCCUUCCAAGCUUGGGGUCGCGGGUUCGAAUCCCGUCUCCCGCU